AUGGGCAUUCCGAUGUCCCGACUGAGCACUAGUAACAUGAGCUUCCAUGGAGUUAUACCAGGGAAGAAGGCCGAGUCACUCGGCCAGAUAGCUUUGGACGUGGUGUUUGGUGAUUCGAAGCAUUUUCGCAAAGAAAAGUUGACGUUUGAGGUCGUGGAUUUUCAAAGUGCAUAUCAUGCCAUUUUGGGGAGACCAGCCUAUGCACGGUUCAUGGCUCGACCAUGUUACGUGUACCUCAAAUUGAAGAUGCCCGGUCCCAAAGGUGUGAUCACUGUCACCGGUGAUAGGAAGAAGGCAGAGGAGUGCUUUCAGAAGGGCUCCAAGAUUGCCGAUUCCCAAGUGACAGCGGUCGAGUUCGAAGAAUACAAGCAAAACGCAGAUCCGAGUGACUUGCUGCGAGCCAAGAAGCCCGCCACAGAGUCUGCAUUCCAGUCGUCCGGUGAGACGAAGCCUGUUCACAUUCACCCGACCGACCCCGAAGCAGCUCCGACCCGCAUUUCCACAACACUCGACCCAAAAUAG
rnacentral:rRNA from 1 species